CGCGGAUGAUCUCCCGUGCGGGGGUGAUUAGUGGCGAACGGUGAGUAAUACGUGAGUAACCUGCCCUUGACUCUGGGAUAAGCCUGGGAAACCGGGUCUAAUACUGGAUACGACCCCCUGUCGCAUGGUGGGGGGUGGAAAGGGUUUGACUGGUUUUGGAUGGGCUCACGGCCUAUCAGCUUGUUGGUGGGGUAAUGGCUCACCAAGGCGACGACGGGUAGCCGGCCUGAGAGGGUGACCGGCCACACUGGGACUGAGACACGGCCCAGACUCCUACGGGAGGCAGCAGUGGGGAAUAUUGCACAAUGGGCGGAAGCCUGAUGCAGCGACGCCGCGUGAGGGAUGACGGCCUUCGGGUUGUAAACCUCUUUCACAGGGAAGAAGCCACAAGUGACGGUACCUGCAGAAGAAGCGCCGGCUAACUACGUGCCAGCAGCCGCGGUAAUACGUAGGGCGCAAGCGUUGUCCGGAAUUAUUGGGCGUAAAGAGCUCGUAGGCGGCUUGUCGCGUCUGCUGUGAAAGCCCGGGGCUCAACCCCGGGUCUGCAGCGUGGCACGGGUAGACUAGAGUGCAGUAGGGGAGACUGGAAUUCCUGGUGUAGCGGUGAAAU
rnacentral:rRNA from 1 species